GAGUGAGUGAAGUUGAAGAAUGUUCUGCGAGAAAUGCUUCAGAUUCAGUUCAUCACAAUGGCAGCUCAAAGUGCAAAAAAUCUACACGCCGUAAAAAAAUUGCUUCAGAUGCAUCCGCUUCUCAUCUAUGAUGUUCAUCCAUGAGCUUAUUGUUCAUUAGGAAGUGCAUGAGAUCAAAAGUUGAAGCUUUUUGGCGUUACGCUCGGAAGAUUACCUGUAUAGGCAUGAAAUCUGAAACAACUGAUAAGUAUUAUCAAGAUCUGUGAAGGACAGAAAACUAACCUCAUUUUUCAGUUCGUCGACUGAUAGAAUGAAUUCCUCAGUUUCAUUGAAGACAGCCUACAAAACCACCUAUUAGGUAGCGCAUAAGAUGUUACAUGACUAACCAAUCAGCUGCAAAUUGGAGAAGUAAUCAACAACAGAAUCAUCUGCUUUACUGAAGUGACUUUGAUUUCUUAUGAGUAAUAUAGAAUUUCCUACAGGUCAUAUUAACUGAAUCGUUGUUUUUCCAAAUGCUAGUUUAAGCAUCCAUAUAUAUUGAAACAAGUAUGAGAAGUUGAUAAAAGAUCACAUUUUAGACAUUAGUAAGGUUGUGAUUCUUUUAAGUGGAAAGAAGAGAAUCAACCAACCUGGCAACGCAAGUGCGUGUGGAUUGCACCCAGAUACUGUUUGACUAGUCUUCCUGUGCCAAAUUUCCAUUGCAUACUAUUAGGUAACUUCUGAUCCUUUGCAUGAAAUCUGAAACAUGAUGUCCAACUCUCAACUGUUUUGCUUGGUAAUAGCAAAAUGUUGUUUUAAGCAAAAUUAGGGCCACCAUCUUUUAUAUAACUGAAAAAUGUCAAAACUCGCAUGUAGGUAUUAAUUGGUUCUGCGUCUCGUUUCAUUACUAAGGGAUAUUAAGAUGCCGCAAAUUCAUAAGACUAGAUUAUGAGGGGCUGUAGCAUGAGUUUGAAAGAUGUUGUUAAUUUGGUCAAGUAAGGUAUUCAAUGUUCACAAUUAGUGCAGCUUGGCUAGCUUCUUGUUUGAAAAAGAACUUGCAAGACAUGAACUUAUUGAUGCUAGCUCUUACCAAAAAGAAGAGAAAUUACAAGAACUUACUGGUGUUAUAAGCAGUGUAUGUUGACCCUCCUGACUAACCAUCAUUAAACCUUGAACAUAGUAAAAAUUUUUGCUUUAUCUUUUGGCUAAUUGCAUAAGACACUUUAGACUAUUGUUUUGCAUGCACUUUUUUGAUAAAGCACACUAUCAAUGAGGUUUUUGCUUCAUCUUUCAUUAAAUGCUAAUCGGUGUUGCAAUGCAGGUUGGUAAGUUUCUUCCUAAAGGAAGCUAUUCUACUAAAAUACAACUAAAACUGAUUCUGAUAUGGAUAUUUGUCUAACACAAAGGUGAAGUUCAUUAUGGUUACAACUGAUCUGGACGUGAAAGAUGCAGAUGUAAGAAAUGUUUCAGUAUAUAGUCGUGGGGCCAAUCAGAAUUCGUUUAUGCACUUUUAGAUUUUUGUUAUCAAACAAUUUUUAAUUUUUUGUAUUUCUUUCAGUUAGAUAGUUUGAUUUGUUAUAAUUACUGCAGCAUAUGAGUAGAUAUUAUUGUUGCGAUAUAUGGAUAUUUGAUUUUAGUUUUAUCAUUUUAACGAGAAUUUAAGAAACUUUGUUGAUUGCU